CAAAGUAGUUCCUACACUACCACGUGGAUUUGUGCAGCUUUUUUCUGUACAUGUCAUAUUCAUGAAUGUGGCUUUCCCUAUCAUGUUAGCACUAAUGUGCUUUCGAACCGAGUCAGCAUACGUUGCCGUGCUCCAGCACUUGAAGGAAGCAAUUUCACAGUGGAAUGUUCGGCGUAUUAUCAUGGACUUUGAAAUUGCACUUCGAAGAGCUGUACGAGUAGUGUAUGCAGAAUCGAGAAUAGGUGGAUGUUGGUUUCACUAUUGCCAGGCUGUGUGGCGGCAAGUUAAUCGUCGUGGGUUGGUUGGCGAGAGUCGUCGCAACCCUAACAUAAAGCUGGCGAUAAAAAUGAUAAUGGCGCUCCCACAUCUGCCGGCACAACGAGGACAAGCUUACGAUAACUCAACUCCCGCGGUCAACGUUCUUGAUGGACU